rnacentral:rRNA from 1 species
GACAGAGGAGCCAAGCGUUGUCCGGAUUGACUGGGCGUAAAGCGCACGCAGGCGGUCGCGCGCGUGGGGUGUGAAAACUGGCGGCUUAACUGCCAGAGGCCAUCCCAUACGGCGCAACUCGAGCCAUGCAGAGGUCCACGGAAUUGCCGGUGUAGUGGUGAAAUGCGUAGAUAUCAGGAAGAACACCCGUGGCGAAAGCGGCUCUCUGGAACGGUACUGACGCUGAGGCGCGAAAGCGUGGGGAGCAAACAGG